rnacentral:rRNA from 1 species
AACGAACGCUGGCGGCAUGCCUAACACAUGCAAGUCGAGCGAGCAUUUCGGUGCUAUCGGCGGACGGGGGAGUAACGCGUGGGAACGUGCCCUUUUCUGCGGAAUAGUCCUGGGAAACUGAGGGUAAUACCGCAUACGCGCUAAUGGCGGAAGAUUUAUCGGAGAAGAAUCGGCCCGAGUUGGAUAAGGUAGUUGGUGCGGUAAUGGCCCACCAAGCGGACGAUCCAUAGCUGGGUGGAGAGGAUGAUCAGCCACCCUGGGAGUGAGACACGGCCCAGACUCCUCCGGGAGGCAGCAGUGGGGAAUGUUAGACAAUGGGGGCAAUGCUGAUCUAGCCAUGACGGGUGAGUGAUGAAGGCAUUAGGGUUGUAAAGCUCUUUCAGCUAGGAAGAUCAUGACGGUACCAGAAGAAGAAGCCACGGCUAACUCCGUG